rfam:Ovis aries breed Texel chromosome 2, whole genome shotgun sequence.
UCCCUGGUGGCUCAGUUGGUAAAGAAUCUGCCUGCAAUGCUGGAGACCUGGGUUCGAUCCCUGGUUUGGGAA